UACGGAGGGUGCGAGCGUUAAUCGGAAUAACUGGGCGUAAAGCGCGCGUAGGCGGCGCGAUAAGCGAGAUGUGAAAGCCCCGGGCUUAACCUGGGAACGGCAUUUCGAACUGUCGGGCUAGAGUGCGGUAGAGGGUGGUGGAAUUCCCAGUGUAGCGGUGAAAUGCGUAGAUAUUGGGAGGAACACCAGUGGCGAAGGCGGCCACCUGGACUGACACUGACGCUGAGGUGCGAAAGCGUGGGGAGCAAACAGG
rnacentral:misc_RNA from 1 species